rnacentral:snRNA from 1 species
AGCUGCGCAGUGGGCACAAAGCGAACUAUUCUUUCGCCUUUUACUAAAGAAUACCGUGUGCUCGCUGCAAAUAGCAGCAUACUCUAAUUUUUUGAGGGGAUUUCUAUAUAAGGAGAAC